AUGAAGAGACAGCACUAUCAGUCUGGUGCAGAGAAGAGGAAAAAGAGGAAAGAAAGUGAGCAAGUCUUUGUGGAUUCUGUUGAAGCAAAUGGAGAAAGUUGUUACAAGCCUCAUCAUUUGCUCAGUCAUGAUAUUUCUAGUGUUUUUAACAUUCAGCAAGACAAAACAACAACAAUGAACAACAUCUUCAUCCUCAUCUGGACUCUCACACUGUUUGCUCAAGAGUGUAGAGGACAGAUCACUGUAACUCAGAGUCCAUCAAUAACAGCAGCUCAAGGACAAGAAGUCAGAAUAAACUGUAAAACCAGCAGUAAUGUCUACAGUGAUAGUUAUGGGUCAAGGAUGGGCUGGUAUUUACAGAAACCUGGAGAAGCUCCUAAACUCCUCAUAUAUGCUGCAACAAGCCGUUACACUGGAACUCCAUCUAGAUUCAGUGGCAGUGGAUCUAACAGUGAUUUCACUCUGACCAUCAGUGGAGUCCAGACUGAAGAUACAGGAGAUUAUUACUGUCAGAGUGAACACUCUAUCAGUGGUAGCUGGGUGUUCACACAGUGAUAAAGAGUCGUACAAAAACCUCCGUCAGUCAGAGUCACAGUGACUGCACUGAUACAGCUGAGAGAUACUGCAGCUGCUGAUGGCAGGAUGGCAAACAACACAAUGAUAAUCUUUAGAAAAGUUUAAAUAAUAAUUAAUGUGUUCAUUUAUUUAUAAAUAGAGUAAAUGCAUUUACAAGUAGUUACUUUCUUUAACUAACAGUUAGGGCUAGUGCAGA